rnacentral:rRNA from 1 species
CCUACGGGUGGCAGCAGUGAGGAAUAUUGGUCAAUGGCCGAGAGGCUGAACCAGCCAAGUCGCGUGAGGGAAGACGGCCCUACGGGUUGUAAACCUCUUUUGUCGGGGAGCAAAGAGAGUCACGUGUGACUCAUUGAGAGUACCCGAAGAAAAAGCAUCGGCUAACUCCGUGCCAGCAGCCGCGGUAAUACGGAGGAUGCGAGCGUUAUCCGGAUUUAUUGGGUUUAAAGGGUGCGUAGGCGGAAUGCCAAGUCAGCGGUAAAAUCGCGGGGCUCAACCUCGCUCCGCCGUUGAAACUGGCGUUCUUGAGUGGGCGAGAAGUAUGCGGAAUGCGUGGUGUAGCGGUGAAAUGCUUAGAUAUCACGAAGAACUCCGAUUGCGAAGGCAGCUCACUGGACUGCAACUGACACUGAGGCUCGAAAGUGUGGGUAUCAAACAGGAUUAGAUACCCUAGUAGUC